GGAAUAUUGGGCAAUGGAGGAAACUCUGACCCAGCAAUGCCGCGUGAAUGAAGAAGGUCUUCGGAUUGUAAAGUUCUUUAGUCAGGGAAGAAAAAAAUGACGGUACCCGGAGAAUAAGCAUCGGCUAACUCCGUGCCAGCAGCCGCGGUAAUACGGAGGAUGCGAGCGUUAUCCGGAUUUAUUGGGUUUAAAGGGUGCGUAGGCGGUUACUUAAGUCAGCGGUCAAAUGGCGGGGCUCAACCCCGUCCAGCCGUUGAAACUGGGUAGCUUGAGUCGGCGAGAAGUACGCGGAAUGCGCGGUGUAGCGGUGAAAUGCAUAGAUAUCGCGCAGAACUCCGAUUGCGAAGGCAGCGUACCGGCGCCGCACUGACGCUGAGGCACGAAAGCGUGGGUAUCGAACAG
rnacentral:rRNA from 1 species